ensembl:lncRNA GASAL1 growth arrest associated lncRNA 1
UUUCCAACGGGAAGGGAGGGUGAGGCUUCUAUUUGUUUCCCAAGAGCCAGCUGACCUUUGAAGCUAGUGAUAACCACCACAAACCUCACUGGUGGGAGAACGAGGCACUGCAGCCAGUUCUCAUCAACCCCACAUCCCUGCAGGGGGCCCCAAGGCGGAUGUGUCACCAUCCUCUGCAACGCUGGGCCUCAGAGGUGGAGGAGGCCCAGCCAUGGCCAGAUGGGGGAUCUGGGGAACAGGUCCUCUGCUUUCUGGGAAAAUAGAGGAGAGUCUCCGAGUCUGGGCCUUGCCACUCCUCACUCAGCAUCUGACCAUCCCCACCUCCUGGAUCUACAGGGUUCAUAGAGGAGGACCCAGAAGAGGGAAAGUCAGGCUGAGGAACUUGGCCUCCCUGCUGCAAGGGAAAUGACAUCGGUUACCAAGGAGGUGACCAGCUAUCCUUUUCCAAGACUGAAAAGCAGAAAUACGGCCCUGAGGCUAGAGGGUCUAAGAGAACAAUAGGAAGAAUUUCCUGACAAAGGACAAUGUUGCCUAAAGGACUCAGGAAGCUCUGUGAAAACAGGAGACUCCCGAGCAGAGCACCAGACCCUUCUCCACCAGGCAGUGUUUUUCCCAUAUGACAGGUGAGAAAACUGAGGCUGAGAGACAUGUAAUAACUUGCUGAAGCAGCAACCAGCACACCAUAUAGCUGAAAUCUGUAGAUCAGCAGUUAAAAGUGGUAGGGCAAGUCCUCUCUGACUUUCAGCGCUAAGAGCCUAGGAUUCUGUGUUUUUCUGCUUAAGCCUGGGAAUCAGAGUCCUACAAAAGCCGCGCCUAAUCCUGGGGGUGUGGGCUUUAAACCCAGAGAGAAAGCAUGUUAUUGGAAUACUCCUGCACUUUUCUCCCUUUGAAUCCCACCACGGAAAGAAAAUUCUGUGACGUGUACCCAGUAUUUAUUGGAGGGUAUUUCCUAGCAAGAAAAUGAGGGCGAUUGACCAGGCACGGUGGCUCACGCCUGUAAUCCCAGCACUUUGGGAGGUCAAGGUGAGUGGAUCACAUGAGGUCAGGAGUUCGAGACCAGCCUGACCAACAUGGAGAAACCCCGUCUCUACUAAAAAUACAAAAUUAGCCGGGCGUGGGGUGGCGCAUGCCUGUAAUUCCAGCUACUCCUGAGGCUGUGGCAGCAGAAUCGCUUGAACCCGGGAGACAGAGGUUGCAGUGAGUUGAGAUCAAGCCAUCGCACUCCAGCCUGGGCAACAGAGUGAGACUCUGUCAAAAAAGAAAGUGUGGUACAUCUAUACUAAUGGAGUACUAUUUAGCCGUCAAAGAAAAAAAAGAAAAGAAAAAGAAAGAGAAAGAAAGAAAGAAGGAAAGAAAGAAAGAAAAAGAAAA